GGCAGCUAUCCACCGGUGUGUGACAGAAAGGACGUGCCGCGAAAGAGACAUACAAGGCGGUGAGGCUACCGCCGAUCGACCGGUGGUUGCUAACGCGGAGGUCAAUCGUGGAUCAGGGAAACCGAAGGCAGGAGCGUGAGGUGAACUGAAUUUCAGUAUUCCAUGGAGGAACUGAGGAACUGCUCGCCCAGCUCUGGAAUUACUGUCGAAGCAUUAUCCAGGCGGCAGAUCCACAUCAGAGACAUAUACAGAUGAACAGCAGGGGACGGUCUCCAUACACCCAGCUUCGCCUUCACGGAGGAGAAGGCGUCCUCGGAAGCAGCGUUCAGCCACA
ensembl:lncRNA